rnacentral:tRNA from 1 species
GGUCGUGGCGGAACUGGUAGACGCGCAACGUUGAGGUCUUUGUGUCCGAAAGCACGUGGAAGUUCGAGUCUUCUCGACCGCACCA